GACGAACGCUGGCGGCGCGCUUAACACAUGCAAGUCGAACGGUAAGGCCCCUUCGGGGGUACACGAGUGGCGAACGGGUGAGUAACACGUGAGCAACCUGCCCUUGACUCUGGGAUAACAGUUGGAAACAGCUGCUAAUACCGGAUACGACCUUCGAUGACAUCAUCUGGAGGUGGAAAGCGCUUUAGCGGUCAAGGAUGGGCUCGCGGCCUAUCAGCUUGUUGGUGAGGUAACGGCUCACCAAGGCUUCGACGGGUAGCCGGCCUGAGAGGGCGACCGGCCACACUGGGACUGAGAUACGGCCCAGACUCCUACGGGAGGCAGCAGUGGGGAAUAUUGCACAAUGGGCGCAGGCCUGAUGCAGCAACGCCGCGUGCGGGAUGACGGCCUUCGGGUUGUAAACCGCUUUCAGCUCCGACGAAGCGCAAGUGACGGUAGGAACAGAAGAAGGACCGGCCAACUACGUGCCAGCCGCCGCAGUAA
rnacentral:rRNA from 1 species